rnacentral:piRNA from 1 species
UAAAUACUCUCUGAAGCUUCCC